GUGUUGCAUGAAAGGAGAGAAGGUUAGCACUCCCCUUGAUAAGGAUGGAACAGGUUCUUGUGGCCUUUGCAACACAUAUAUGGUGAAGAAACACGUUUUCCUUAGAGGUGUGCUUAUAUUUUUA